GAUGAACGCUGGCGGCGUGCCUAAUACAUGCAAGUCGAGCGAACAGACGAGGAGCUUGCUCCUCUGACGUUAGCGGCGGACGGGUGAGUAACACGUGGAUAACCUACCUAUAAGACUGGGAUAACUUCGGGAAACCGGAGCUAAUACCGGAUAAUAUAUUGAACCGCAUGGUUCAAUAGUGAAAGACGGUUUUGCUGUCACUUAUAGAUGGAUCCGCGCCGCAUUAGCUAGUUGGUAAGGUAACGGCUUACCAAGGCAACGAUGCGUAGCCGACCUGAGAGGGUGAUCGGCGACACUGGAACUGAGACACGGUCCAGACUCCUACGGGAGGCAGCAGUAGGGAAUCUUCCGCAAUGGGAGAAAGCCUGACGGAGCAACGCCGCGUGAGUGAUGAAGGUCUUCGGAUCGUAAAACUCUGUUAUUAGGGAAGAACAAAUGUGUAAGUAACUAUGCACGUCUUGACGGUACCUAAUCAGAAAGCCACGGCUAACUACGUG
rnacentral:rRNA from 1 species